GCGGUGGAGUAUGUGGUUUAAUUCGAUGCAACGCGAAGAACCUUACCUGGUCUUGACAUCCCGGAGACCCUUAGGAAACUAGGGGUGCUUCCAUCUGGAAGAAUCUGGAGACAGGUGCUGCAUGGCUGUCGUCAGCUCGUGUCGUGAGAUGUUGGGUUAAGUCCCGCAACGAGCGCAACCCUUGCCUUUAGUUGCCAGCAGUUCGGCUGGGCACUCUAAAGGGACUGCCGGUGUUAACCGGAGGAAGGUGGGGAUGACGUCAAGUCCUCAUGGCCUUUAUGACCAGGGCUACACACGUACUACAAUGGCCGAUACAAAGGGCAGCGACACUGCGAGGUGAAGCCAAUCCCGUAAAAUCGGUCUCAGUCCGGAUUGGAGUCUGCAACUCGACUCCAUGAAGUUGGAAUCGCUAGUAAUCGUGGAUCAGCAUGCCACGGUGAAUACGUUCCCGGGCCUU
rnacentral:rRNA from 1 species